rnacentral:sRNA from 1 species
GGCGGGAAGCACACGGAGCACUGCAGGCGCCGGGUUGGGACAGCGUCUCCGUUGCUGCUGGAGAGUCGUGUUUUCGGGGAUCGAGGAUACUCACCAGGAACCGAAAAUGCCGAAACCAAUCAAUGUCCGAGUUACCACCAUGGAUGCAGAGCUGGAGUUUGCAAUCCAGCCAAAUACAACUGGAAAACAGCUUUUUGAUCAGAGACAGGAUUUCGCCAUGUUUGCCAGGCUAGUCUCGAACUCCUGAAUUCAAGUGAUCCACCUGCCUUGGCCUCCCAAAGUGCUGGGAUUACAGGUGUUAGCCACCACGCUCAGCUUACAGCCUUCCCCCAUCCCUUUUGGGUGAGUGGGAAGAGGGGAAGAACAGGUGGUGAAGACUAUCGGCCUCCGGGAAGUGUGGUACUUUGGCCUCCAGUAUAUGGAUAAUAAAGGAUUUCCUACCUGGCUGAAGCUGGAUAAGAAGGUGUCUGCCCAGGAGGUCAGGAAGGAGAAUCCCCUCCAGUUCAAGUUCCGGGCCAAGUUCUACCCUGAAGAUGUGGCUGAGGAGCUCAUCCAGGACAUCACCCAGAAACUUUUCUUCCUCCAAGUGAAGGAGGGAAUCCUUAGCGACGAGAUCUACUGCCCCCCUGAGACUGCCGUGCUCUUGGGGUCUUACGCUGUGCAGGCUAAGUUUGGGGACUACAACAAAGAAGUACACAAGUCUGGGUACCUCAGCUCUGAGCGGCUGAUCCCUCAAAGAGUCAUGGACCAGCACAAACUUACCAGGGACCAGUGGGAGGACCGGAUCCAGGUGUGGCAUGCGGAACACCGCGGGAUGCUCAAAGAUAAUGCUAUGUUGGAAUACCUGAAGAUUGCUCAGGACCUGGAAAUGUAUGGAAUCAACUAUUUCGAGAUAAAAAACAAGAAAGGAACAGACCUUUGGCUUGGAGUUGAUGCCCUUGGGCUGAAUAUUUAC